rnacentral:rRNA from 1 species
AAGGGGCAGUAAUGCAUGGAUAACCUACCUUGGGGUUGGGCAUAGCCGUUCUAACGGACGGGUAAUUCCCAGAGAUUCAGCGAGGCGGCAUCGUUCUGCUGGGAAAGAAUUUCGCCUCGAGAGGGGUCCAUGUGCUAUUAGCUAGUUGGUGAGGUAACGGCUCACCAAGGCUAAGAUGGCUAGCGGGUGUGAGAGCACGACCCGCGCCACUGGCACUGAGACACUGGCCAGACACCUACGGGUGGCUGCAGUCGAGGAUCUUCGUCAAUGGGCGCAAGCCUGAACGAGCGACACCGCGUGCGCGAUGAAGGCCUUCGGGUUGUAAAGCGCGAAAGUGGAAAGAAAGGGAGACUUGAUCGAUCCACAGUAAGGACGGGCUAAGUUCGUGCCAGCAGCCGCGGUAAGACGAACUGUCCUAACGUUGUUCGGAAUCACUGGGCUUAAAGGGCGCGUAGGCGGGCCGACAAGUCGGGGGUGAAAUCCUGCAGCUUAACUGCAGAAGUGCCUUCGAUACUGUUGGUCUAGAGGGAGAUAGGGGUGUGCGGAACUUCCAGUGGAGCGGUGAAAUGCGUU